rnacentral:rRNA from 1 species
AUUGAACGCUGGCGGCAUGCUUUACACAUGCAAGUCGAACGGCAGCGCGGGCUUCGGCCUGGCGGCGAGUGGCGAACGGGUGAGUAAUACAUCGGAACGUGCCCGGUAGUGGGGGAUAGCUCGGCGAAAGCCGGAUUAAUACCGCAUACGACCUGAGGGUGAAAGCGGGGGAUCUUCGGACCUCGCGCUAUUGGAGCGGCCGAUGGCAGAUUAGCUAGUUGGUGGGGUAAAGGCCUACCAAGGCGACGAUCUGUAGCUGGUCUGAGAGGACGACCAGCCACAAGGGGAAGGAGACACGGCCCAGACUCCUCCGGGAGGGAGCAGGGGGGAUUUUGGGAGAAGGGGAGAAAGCCUGAUCCAGCAAUCCGGGGUGUGGAAGGAGGCCCUGCGGGUAGAAAAGCUCUUUGGGGGGAAAAAAAAAGAACGGUCCAAAUACCCCGGUACGAGGACGGUACCCAAAAAAAAAGCCCCGGCUAACUACGUG